CAUUUACUCCCUCCGUUCCGAAUUACUUGUCUUAGAUGAUACGAAUGUAUCUAGCACUAAAAUGAGUCUAGAUACAUCUGUAUCUAGACAAAUUCAAGACAAGUAGUAAUUCGGAACGGAGGGAGUAGAAU
rfam:Triticum aestivum genome assembly, contig: Triticum_aestivum_CS42_TGACv1_scaffold_032710_1BL